rnacentral:rRNA from 1 species
GAUGAACGCUGUCGGCGUGCCUAAUACAUGCAAGUCGAGCGAACGGACGAGAAGCUUGCUUCUCUGAUGUUAGCGGCGGACGGGUGAGUAACACGUUGAUAACCUACCUAUAAGACUGGGAUAACUUCGGGAAACCGUAGCUAAUACCGGAUAAUAUUUUGAACCGCAUGGUUCAAAAGUGAAAGACGGUCUUGCUGUCACUUAUAGAUGGAUCCGCGCUGCAUUAGCUAGUUGGUAAGGUAACGGCUUACCAAGGCAACGAUGCAUAGCCGACCUGAGAGGGUGAUCGGCCAAACUGGAACUGAGACACGGUCCAGACUCCUACGGGAGGCAGCAGUAGGGAAUCUUCCGCAAUGGGCGAAAGCCUGACGGAGCAACGCCGCGUGAGUGAUGAAGGUCUUCGGAUCGUAAAACUCUGUUAUUAGGGAAGAACAUAUGUGUAAGUAACUGUGCACAUCUUGACGGUACCUAAUCAGAAAGCCACGGCUAACUACGUG